rnacentral:rRNA from 1 species
AUUGAACGCUGGCGGCAGGCCUAACACAUGCAAGUCGAGCGCGCCGCGGACGGGUGAGUAAUGUGUGGGAAUCUGCCUGAUGGAGGGGGAUAACUACUGGAAACUGUAGAUAAUACCGCAUUCCAUCAGGUGUGCCCAGAUGGGAUUCGCUAGUAGGUGGGGUAAUGGCACACCUAGGCGACGAUCCCUAGCUGGUCUGAGAGGAUGACCAGCCACACUGGAACUGAGACACGGUCCAGACUCCUACGGGAGGCAGCAGUGGGGAAUAUUGCACAAUGGGCGCAAGCCUGAUGCAGCCAUGCCGCGUGUGUGAAGAAGGCCUUCGGGUUGUAAAGCACUUUCAGCGGGGAGGCGUUCCCGCAGAAAAGCACCGGCUAACUCCGUGCCAGCGCCGCGGUAAUUC